rnacentral:misc_RNA from 1 species
GCCCUAAAAAAAUUGUAAUAAACCUAAUAAAUUUAAAGGUUAAAAUUAAAAGCUUGAAAAGUCUAAUGAAAAAACAAACUUCUAUCAUUACAUGCGUAUUAUAUGUUAGAAACCCUUGACGCUAUUAAUUGCAGUGAGGAGCCAUUUGCCACGAAAUUUAUAACCAGUUCACUGAAAAUUUGUAAUGGAGGGCAUGAUUUAGGUUAAAGCAUAGGAAUUAUCACCUAUGCAUCUAUUUCCGGGGAGGCAUUUGGAACAGCCGGCGAUCCAAGUAUGAACUUCCGGUUACCAAGACUCUGAUCUCAGCAGGCAUUGGGUAGAAUGCCACCUAAAAUGGUCAGCAUGACUGGCUCUGUUACUUCAAAUUAAACUAAAAUCGAAUUAAAAUACUAACCUAUUAAUACCUAAACUUAUAAAAACUCAUAACAAAAGCCUGAACUAAGAACUAGGUAAUAUAAUAAGAUUAAGAUGUUAUGCUAACAGCAUAAAACAUGCAGAUUGAACCAAAUCAUACUUUUGUCAGUCAUUACUAUAAACAGAUAGAAAGAAACAAGGAAGCUUGUACCUAUUUGAACUCUAUGAAGUCAGGAAAAAUUUUACAGUGACACAAAACUGUAAGUGGUGAUCUCUCAAUGUCAAAAAUUCCAAAUGCCUAGCUUGAUGAGUUAGCUAUAGCUAAAAAAAUCUUUAGUGUUUUAGUUCUUACCUAUACUCGCCGGAAAAGAAGUAAGCAGAAAAAUAUAGCUCAUGCUCUAAGAUAUGAAAAAAACUAUUCCCUGUAUAGUGAAUCUAAUUCUUCUAGAAAACAAAGUUCACUUCGUUCUCAUUCAUCUCAAAUACAUGAUCUCUUGCGUCAGCGAGAGCACUCUGCCCAAAUUUUGUGAGGAAGUUAUUUGCAAGGUUUAAAGAGGUAAUUUUCACAUCUUCAUUAGCCUUAAGUGCUUGAGCAAUAGCAAAAGCCCCAUCAUCUCUUAUUUCAUUGAAUCCUAAGUCGAGUUCAGUAAGAACUUCAUUCACCACUUUCAAGCUACGAGCCAAGCAUCUUGCACCUUCAUCUCUAAGUCCAUUUCCUCGAAAGUCUGGAAUUGAUAUGGUAUUAUUGCAUGUCAAAGUAUCCGCAAUGUACUCUGCGUCUUUUGCUCCUAUCAGCAGGACAUUUCCAUGCCACAUUAUGAAUAAUUAAGCAAGUGAUCCACAAAUGUAUGCAUAUAUGUGGAUUAACCUGGCACCAACCAAGCUUUAAUGCUUUUAUGUUUCCAUGAAACUUAAGAAUUUCAGAUAAAGCUUUGGCUCCAUCAACUCCAAUUGGAUUAUAGCCAACUUCCAAUGUUGAGAUGACAGAGUUAUCUUUCAAAAUUUGAGCAAUUUCACUUAUCCCUUCGGCAUGGAUGUUAUUUCCACCCAGACGAGUUGAUAGAAUUCAUUUGUUAAACAGCUAUUCAGGGAGCAAUUAAAGCACAUAUGCAAGGGAUGAUAAGUACUCUCUUCUCAUCAAGUCUAUUAUUGUCAUACUCUAUUUCUGCUUUACAGCAUCUGCAAUUUUUUCAGCACCUGAUAAAUAUUCAGGAAAAAAAUAUCAACAACAUGAAAGUCCAAUCUAGAACCAUCUUUUGGCAUUAACUUGAAUUAAAGGUAGCCAAGAAGCUGAAUAGAGAAUGCAGAUAAUCAUUCAGUAAUUUCAGCACCCAAUCACCCAUGUC